rnacentral:sRNA from 1 species
AGCAGCCGCGGUAAUUCCAGCUCCAAUAGCGUAUAUUAAAGUUGUUACAGUUAAAAAGCUCGUAGUUGAAUUUCGGGAUCAAUAUUUCGGUCAUGCCGUUGGUAUGCACUGUUAUCAUUGAUUUCUCACCUUCUAAAGAACCGUAAUGCCAUUAAUUUGGUGUUACGGGGAAUUAGGACUGUUACCUUGAAAAAAUUAGAGUGUUUAAAGCAGGCUCGCGCUUGAAUACAUUAGCAUGGAAUAAUGAAAUAGGACGCUUGAUUCUAUUUUGUUGGUUUCUAGGAUCGACGUAAUGAUUAAUAGGGAUAGUUGGGGGCAUUAGUAUUCAAUUGUCAGAGGUGAAAUUCUUGGAUUUAUUGAAGACUAACUACUGCGAAAGCAUUUGCCAAGGAUGUUUUCAUUAAUCAAGAACGAAAGUUAGGGGAUCGAAGACGAUCAGAUACCGUCGUAGUCUUAACCAUAAACUAUGCCGACUAGGGAUCGGAUGAUGUUAAUUUUUUAAUGA